rnacentral:rRNA from 1 species
AGAUCUUCGGAUCUAGUGCCGCCGGNUUCGUAACGCGUGGGAAUCUGCCCUUGGGUUCGGAAUAACUUCUGGAAACGGAAGCUAAUACCGGAUGAUGACGUAAGUCCAAAGAUUUAUCGCCCAAGGAUGAGCCCGCGUAGGAUUAGCUAGUUAGUGGGGUAAAGGCCCACCAAGGCGACGAUCCUUAGCUGGUCUGAGAGGAUAGAUCAGCCACACUGGGACUGANACACGGCCCAGACUCCUACGGGAGGCAGCAGUAGGGAAUAUUGGACAAGUGGGCGAAAGCCUGAUCCAGCAAUGCCGCGUGAGUGAUGAAGGCCUUAGGGUUGUAAAGCUCUUUUACCCGGGAUGAUAAUGACAGUACCGGGAGAAUAAGCUCCGGCUAACUCCGUGCCAGCAGCCGCGGUAAUACGGAGGGAGCUAGCGUUGUUCGGAAUUACUGGGCGUAAAGCGCACGUAGGCGGCUAUUCAAGUCAGAGGUGAAAGCCCGGGGCUCAACCCCGGAACUGCCUUUAGAAACUAGAUAGCUUGAAUCCAGGAGAGGUGAGUGGAAUUCCGAGCUGUANGAGGUGAAAAUUCGUAGAUAUUCGGAAGAACACCAGUGGCGAAGGCGGUCACUGGACUGGUAUUGACGCUAAGGUGCGAAAGCGUGGGGAGCAAACAGGAUUAGAUACCCCUGGUAGUCCACAGCCCGUAANCANAUGCAUAACUAGUGUCAGGGCACAUGGUGUUAGGUGGCGCAGCUAACGCAUAAGUUAUCCGCCUUGGGGAGUACGGUCGCAAGAUUAAAACUUCAAAGGGAAUGACGGGGGGCAGCA